GUGCUCGCUUCGGCAGCACAUACACUGAAACUGGAACAAUACAGAGAUUAGCAGGGCCCCUGUGCAAGGACGACAUACAGAUUCGGAAAGUGUUGCAUAGUUUU